AUUGAACGCUGGCGGCAUGCCUAACACAUGCAAGUCGAACGGCAGCGCGGGGGCAACCCUGGCGGCGAGUGGCGGACGGGUGAGGAACACAUGGGAAUCUGCCCAGUCGUGGGGGAUAACCUCGGGAAACCGGGACUAAUACCGCAUGAGACGGAGACGUGAAAGCAGGGGACCGCAAGGCCUUGCGCGAUUGGAUGAGCCCAUGUCGGAUUAGCUAGUUGGUAGGGUAAAGGCCUACCAAGGCGACGAUCCGUAGCCGGUCUGAGAGGAUGAUCAGCCACACCGGGACUGAGACACGGCCCGGACUCCUACGGGAGGCAGCAGUGGGGAAUAUUGGACAAUGGGGGCAACCCUGAUCCAGCAAUGCCGCGUGUGUGAAGAAGGCCUUCGGGUUGUAAAGCACUUUUGUACGGAAAGAAAGCUUCCGGGUUAAUACCCUGGGAGGAUGACGGUACCGUAAGAAUAAGCACCGGCUAACUUCGUG
rnacentral:rRNA from 1 species